GGGGUUGUGGCUCAGUGGUAGAGUGCUCGUCUACCACAUGUGAAGCCCUGGGUUCGAUCCUCAGCACCA
rnacentral:tRNA from 1 species